AGCGAACGCUGGCGGCAGGCCUAACACAUGCAAGUCGAACGAACCUUUCGGGGCUAGUGGCGGACGGGUGAGUAACACGUGGGAACGUGCCUUUAGGUUCGGAAUAACUCAGGGAAACUUGUGCUAAUACCGAAUGUGCCCUUCGGGGGAAAGAUUAAUCGCCUUUAGAGCGGCCCGCGUCUGAUUAGCUAGUUGGUUGAGGUAAUGGCUCACCAAGGCGACGAUCAGUAGCUGGUCUGAGAGGAUGAUCAGCCACAUUGGGACUGAGACACGGCCCAAACUCCUACGGGAGGCAGCAGUGGGGAAUCUUGCGCAAUGGGCGAAAGCCUGACGCAGCUAUGCCGCGUGAAUGAUGAAGGUCUUAGGAUUGUAAAAUUCUUUCACCGGGGACGAUAAUGACGGUACCCGGAGAAGAAGCCCCGGCUAACUUCGU
rnacentral:rRNA from 1 species